rnacentral:lncRNA from 1 species
UGGAAAUGAGAAAAGAUUAAUGACCUUGAAAUAUUGUAUUAUGUUCUCUUAAAAUUAAAGCAAUUUGAUACCUUAAGUUUCUGAUCCUGAAUGAACAUGCAUGUCAAUUGCUGUCUUAAUAUAUGUUAAUUUGAUGAUCAGGUCGAAUCAUGCUACAAUAUCUUUUACGCAGUUAUAUGUAUAUUUUUUUUCUUUUCAAGUAAAAUAUUUUUUUUUUUGACAGGAAAAACCAUACGCCUAAUUCAUUGAUACUUAAGCUAGAAUGGCACGGAUAUAUGCCUUCCCUUGCCAAACAAUCGGGCAAGUUAAGGACUUGACAUGCUAGCACCACUCAUUACAAAGAUUCCGUUCACUUAUUUUGAGUAGAAAAACAAGAAAUACUAGAGAAAAACAAAACUAGAGUCCACUAUGGAUCAAAACCAUAGUAAUUAUUCAAGAUAAAAAACUAUAGAAUUACUGUUUCUCCUUACCCUUAUCAGAAGGGCUUGGAGACCUAGUGAAGGAGCCAAAGAUGUCUUCCAUUGAGCUAGUAUUGGCCCGAGCUUCACUAGUAGAAUUAUGCACUUAUGCGACGAAUAUUUUUUUUUUCAUCGCAUGCGUGAGCACUUAUGCGACGAAUAUAAUUUUGUCGCAUAAGUUCAGACUCAUGUGACGAAAAUUUUAUUUCGUCGCAUAAGUUCUGAUUCAUGCGACGAAAUAAAAUAAGUUCUGAUUCAUGCGACGAAAAAUUUAUUUCGUCGCAUAAGUGCUCACUUAUGCGACGAAAAUUUUGUUCGUCGCAUAAGUUUUCACUCAUGCGACGAAAAUUUUUAUUUCGUUGCAUAGGUCAUUUCUUCCAAAAAUUUGAAUUUUUCACUCAUGCGACGAAAUUUUUUAUUUCGUCGCAUAGGUCAUUUUCGCCAAAAAUUUUGAAUCAUUCCGCCAAAACUUUCCCUCCACUUUUCUUCUUCUUCUACCUUCUUCUUCUUCUUCUUCUUCUUCACCACCACCACUUCUUCU